rnacentral:rRNA from 1 species
GACAGAGGUGCCGAGCGUUAGGCGGAAUCACUGGGCUUAAAGCGUGUGUAGGCGGUUCUGUAAGUACCUUGUGAAAUCCCCCGGCUCAACCGGGGAACGGGCAUCGAUACGAGCGGCCUUGAGGGGGGUAGGGGGGUCUGGAACUUCCGGUGGAGCGGUGAAAUGCGUUGAGAUCGGAAGGAACGCCCGUGGCGAAAGCGAGGCCCUGGACCCUUACUGACGCUGAGACGCGAAAGCCAGGGGAGCGAACGGG